GUCGCUUUAGCCGAGUGGGUAAGGCGUGUGCCUGCAAAGUUUCCCCGCGAGAGUUCGAAUCUCUCAGGCGACG
rnacentral:tRNA from 1 species